ensembl:lncRNA
AAAGUUUCAGUGCAUUCCGUUGAUGUAGACAGCGUGAAAACGUAAACAACAAGUAUGCCGGCUCACUGUGCUGCAUACAGUUACACACUGCGUCGUACGAUGGAGACAAGGAAACUUGGAAUGACUUUUCAUAGGUCCCUCUCUAUCUCCCCACAGAUCCACCAACCACUGGAACACAUCUCCAAAGUUCUGCCGGGCCAGCUCAGCUUCCCCUCAGAAGAAGUGCCACCACCUGCCAGAUGAAGGAGCCUUUUGAGAGGCAGCUGGCAUCGUGAUUGGACUGUACUUUGGUCUGUUCCAAUCCAGCUUCAGCUCCAGAGACGGCAGGCGGGACGAGUCAACGGAGGCCGAGUGGACGAAGGCAUGCAGCUGAGUACAAUCCAGAAAACAACAGAGGAGGAGUGCAGUGACCCAGGGCCAGAACAAACAACCAAAGAACAACAGACUCUUCACAACCUGCUCAAACUCUUGGUACAGGACCUCACCACACGGGUCAAGAAGGUUUCCGUCUCAUUUCUACUCUGAAGCUCACCUUCUCCUGCUCAAACUGCUGACAAAUGUUUCUGCUGCUCUAAAGUCUGGUCUCCAAAACUUCCUAAAAACUCUCAAAGUCUCUUCUGCUGCAGGUUGCUUUGUAGAACUGUUCCAGAAAACCUCACUAAACCACAUGGAGGGGCCUCAAGAUAGUCGUCCAAAUGAAACCCUACAAAAAACAAACUAGCACAACCCAAACACUAAAGUCUCCUGCAGCCUACCAGAGAACCUCUGAGAACAGAGAAUCAGGACAGGAACUCUUACCUUCUGGACAACCAACGUUGGUUCUCAAACAAGAAUACAGAAUGUGUCUGACCAAAAACCUCUAAAGACUCACUACAGCCAAGAUAAAGACACAACUCAGCUGCACCAAAUCCACUAAUCACUGCACACAUUAGCACCAUGUGCCAACUGUGGCUAAAGAACCACAUUUACCAAGACAACUAUCCAGUACAAAGCCCUAAAACACACCAAGA